rnacentral:rRNA from 1 species
GGCGACCGGCAAACGGGUGCGGAACACGUACACAACCUCCCGAUAAGUGGGGAAUAGCCCAGAGAAAUUUGGAUUAAUACCCCGUAACAUUGCGAUGUGGCAUCACAUUGCAAUUAUAGCUUCGGCGCUUAUUGAUGGGUGUGCGUAUGAUUAGAUAGUUGGCGAGGUAACGGCUCACCAAGUCUACGAUCAUUAGCUGAUGUGAGAGCAUGAUCAGCCACACGGGCACUGAGACACGGGCCCGACUCCUACGGGAGGCAGCAGUAAGGAAUAUUGGUCAAUGGACGAAAGUCUGAACCAGCUAUGCCGCGUGAAGGAUUAAGGUCCUCUGGAUUGUAAACUUCUUUUAUAUGGGACGAAAAAAGGUCUUUCUAGAUCACUUGACGGUACCAUAUGAAUAAGCACCGGCUAACUCCGUGCCAGCAGCCGCGGUAAUACGGAGGGUGCAAGCGUUAUCCGGAUUCACUGGGUUUAAAGGGUGCGUAGGCGGGCAGGUAAGUCAGUGGUGAAAUCCUGGAGCUCAACUCCAGAACUGCCAUUGAUACUAUCUGUCUUGAAUAUUGUGGAGGUAAGCGGAAUAUGUCAUGUAGCGGUGAAAUGCUUAGAUAUGACAUAGAACACCUAUUGCGAAGGCAGCUUACUACGCAUAUAUUGACGCUGAGGCACGAAAGCGUGGGGAUCAAAC